rnacentral:rRNA from 1 species
UUGAAGGUUUCGUGGUCUGAGUCGGCCGCGCCCAAGUCCAUUGGAACAUGGCGCCUGGGAGGGUGAGAGCCCCGUAUGGCGCACGCCGACUCUUUGUACACCGCGGCUCCGACGAGUCGAGUUGUUUGGGAAUGCAGCUCUAAGUGGGUGGUAAAUUCCAUCUAAAGCUAAAUAUUGGCGAGAGACCGAUAGCGAACAAGUACAGUGAUGGAAAGAUGAAAAGCACUUUGAAAAGAGAGUGAAACAGCACGUGAAAUUGUUGAAAGGGAAGGGCUUGCAAGCAGACACGGUUUUACCGGGCCAGCGUCGAAAAGGGGGGAGGAACAAGAACUCGAGAAUGUGGCGCGCACCUUCGGGCGCGCGUGUUAUAGCUCGUGUUGACGCCUCCAUCCCUUUUCGAGGCCUGCGAUUCUAGGACGCUGGCGUAAUGGUUGCAAGCCGCCCGUCUUGAAACACGGACCAAGGAGUCUAACGUCUAUGCGAGUGUUUGGGUGCAAAACCCCAGCGCGGAAUGAAAGUAAGAGGUUGGAGCCGCAAGGCGCACAAUCGACCGACCCUGAAGUGCUCGGACGGGUUUGAGUAGGAGCAUAGCUGUUGGGACCCGAAAGAUGGUGAACUAUGCCUGGAUAGGGUGAAGCCAGAGGAAACUCUGGUGGAGGCUCGCAGCGGUUCUGACGUGCAAAUCGAUCGUCGAAUCUGGGUAU